rnacentral:lncRNA from 1 species
GUUUAAUAUUUCUAAAGACUAAAGACAUCACAGCCCCUUUUAAAAUUCAGUAAUAUUAAUAAAAUUUGAAAUAUACAGUGCUAGAAUACAACAAAUUCAGAGGAAAAAUUGUUAAACUAUAUAGCUGUAGAGCAGGAAUGAAAUCCAGGUUCUAAGCUAUAAGGGGGCCAUGAGCUAAAAUACAGGUGCAUCAGUGACUGGGCAUAGAGUCGGCAGAAUUACAGGAUAGUUAAGAGAGUGAGCUGUGGAGCUUAACUCUUGUGAACAUGAAUUUUUAAACUGCACAGUGCCUCAGUCUAUCCAUCUUUACC